CGCCUAAACUGCCUUGUUAAUGUACCAGAAAAGGAUAUAAAAUUGAUGUUUUCACUUUUGUGAUCUGUUAAAAUGGCUGGUAGACAAGGACGAUGUCUAGAUGCUACGGAGGUGCUGGAACUAUAAGAGGAUAUGGAAAGCGAGUUUGAUGAUACUGAUAAUGAUCCAGAUUAUAAAACGUCUGAUUCCGAUGAUUAGUUCUUUACCACAAAGAAAUCUUCUGCACAUAACAAGGCACGAGAUGAUGUACAUGAAGACCAAGACAACACACAAGAUGGUAGACAACACACACGAUAAUGGACAACAAGACAACACACAAGAUGAUGGACAACAAGACAACACACAAGAUGGUGGACAACAAGACAACACACAAGAUGGUGGACAACAAGACUACACACACGAUAAUGGACAACAAGACAACACACACGAUGAUGGACAACAAGACAACACACAAGAUGGUGGAAAACAAGACAACACACACGAUAAUGAACUAGACAACAUACAAGAUGGACAACAUGACAACACCCAAGAUGGUGCAAAACAAGACAACACACGCGAUAGUGGACAACAAGACAACACACACGAUAAUGGACAACAAGACAACACACAAGAUGGUGGACAACAAGACAACACACAAGAUGGUGGACAACAAGACAACACCCAAGAU